ACACUUAACUGGCAGGGGAGAUACCAUGAUUAUGGAGGUGGUUUUCCCAGGGUGAGACUUGUCUAUUGCACUCUGGAUGUGCUGACCCUUGCAAUUUCCCCAAACGUGGGAAACUCGACUGCAUAAUUUGUGGUAGUGGGGGACUGCAUUCACACUCUCCCCUU
ensembl:snRNA U1 U1 spliceosomal RNA